UCCCUGGUGGCUCAGAUGGUAAAGAAUCUGCCUGCAAAGCAGGAGACCUGGGUUCGAUCCCUGGGUUGGGAG
rnacentral:tRNA from 1 species